CAGCUGGACCCUCAGCCACUCGGUUCCCGCCCUCAGUUAGGGUGGGGUCUGGGGGCUUUUUUUUUUUUUUCCAAAGCCCAGUGGGAAAGCUGGGAAUUCAGAAUCCGCGAAAGACGUUCUCCGUCCUCUCCCAGCCGCUGUGUGACCUGGGGUGAAACUGAUCCUGCAUCCCAGAGGGAAUUUUGGAAGAGGUUUCGGUGGAGGUGAAAACCAAGUGCCUGAAUGGUUUUAUUGCUGAAAGUCCUGAGUCUGGGAAACCUCUCAGUCUUGGGGUUUCCCUCAGAAUGAAAACCAAGGGGAAGCUGACUGGCAGAUGGAGAAGCUGAGGCCUGGAGAAUAAAAUAAGCUGCCCAAGGUCGCACAGCUGGCAAAAGCAGAGACCCUCCCAGUGUCUGAACAAAAGGAACAGACUGUUGCUGAAUGGCACCCAGAGACAUCACUGUGCAUGUGCAACACGGAAACCUGUGUCUCCAGGAUGACCCCGGAACCAAGGAUCUUCAGUCUACGGAAUUCAAAGAAUAGAAAUGUUGCCACCAGAGGUCUUUACAAAGCAAGAACUCCUUCAGUGAGGAAAAUCCAGCUUCCAGCAGCAAGAGUAGCUUGGUUACCAUAUAUGGACUGAUUCAAGAUUAGCCAAUCAGCUUCCAGGUUUGAAAUUCUCCUAAUUCCUUAAAUUUCGCCCUGAACCUUGGAUCUGGGAGACAGAUUUGAGCUCUGCAGGUCGACCUCGCAAUA